rnacentral:rRNA from 1 species
AAUAUUGCGCAAUGGAGGGAACUCUGACGCAGCGACGCCGCGUGAGCGAUGAAGGUCUNCGGAUCNUNAAGCUCUGUCCUUGGGGNCGAAGGGAGCCGUAUGGCUUCUUGACGAUACCCAUCGAGGAAGCCCCGGCUAACCACGUUCCAGCAGCCGCGGUAAUACGAAGGGUGCAAGCGUUAAUCGGAAUUACUGGGCGUAAAGGGUGCGUAGGCGGCCUUUUAAGUCAGAUGUGAAAGGCUACGGCUUAACCGAAGUAAGCAUUUGAAACUAGAAGGGUUGAGUGCAGGGGAGGAGAGUGGAAUUCCUAGUGUAGCGGUGAAAUGCGUAGAUAUUAGGAAGAACACCAGUGGCGAAGGCGACUCUCUGGACUGCAACUGACGCUGAGGCACGAAAGCGUGGGGAGCAAAC